rnacentral:rRNA from 1 species
GACGAACGCUGGCGGCGUGCUUAACACAUGCAAGUCGAGCGGUAAGGCCCUUUCGGGGGUACACGAGCGGCGAACGGGUGAGUAACACGUGGGUGACCUGCCCUCAGCUCUGGGAUAAGCCUGGGAAACCGGGUCUAAUACCGGAUAUGACUCCAUGACGCAUGUUGUGGGGUGGAAAGCCUUGUGCGGCUGAGGAUGGGCCCGCGGCCUAUCAGCUUGUUGGUGGGGUGAUGGCCUACCAAGGCGACGACGGGUAGCCGGCCUGAGAGGGCGACCGGCCACACUGGGACUGAGACACGGCCCAGACUCCUACGGGAGGCAGCAGUGGGGAAUAUUGGACAAUGGGCGCAAGCCUGAUCCAGCGAUGCCGCGUGUGUGAAGAAGGCC